AUGGCUCAGGACGAACGCUGGCGGCGUGCCUAACACAUGCAAGUCGAGCGAGGAGAUUCCUCGGGAUGAUCCUAGCGGCGGACGGGUGAGUAACACGUGGGCAACCUGCCUCAUAGAGAGGAAUAGCCUUCCGAAAGGGAGAUUAAUACCUCAUAACAUUGCAGUUUCGCAUGAAACAGCAAUUAAAGGAGCAAUCCGCUAUGAGAUGGGCCCGCGGCGCAUUAGCUAGUUGGUGAGGUAACGGCUCACCAAGGCGACGAUGCGUAGCCGACCUGAGAGGGUGAUCGGCCACAUUGGGACUGAGACACGGCCCAGACUCCUACGGGAGGCAGCAGUGGGGAAUAUUGCACAAUGGGGGAAACCCUGAUGCAGCCAACGCCGCGUGAGUGAUGACGGCCUUCGGGUUGUAAAGCUCUGUCUUCAGGGACGAUAAUGACGGUACCUGAGGAGGAAGCCACGGCUAACUACGUGCCAGCAGCUGC
rnacentral:rRNA from 1 species